GAUGAACGCUAGCGGCAGGCCUAAUACAUGCAAGUAGAACGGGAUUAAGAGGCUUGCUUCUUAUGAGAGUGGCGAACGGGUGCGUAACACGUAUGCAACCUACCUUCAACUGGGGGAUAGCCUUCCGAAAGGGAGAUUAAUAACGCAUAAUAUAAUUGAGUGGCAUCACUUGAUUACCAAACGUCAGGGUUGAAGAUGGGCAUGCGUCCGAUUAGUUUGUUGGUGAGGUAACGGCUCACCAAGACUACGAUCGGUAGGGGAUCUGAGAGGAUGGCCCCCCACGCUGGUACUGAGACACGGACCAGACUCCUACGGGAGGCAGCAGUAAGGAAUAUUGGUCAAUGGACGGAAGUCUGAACCAGCCAUGCCGCGUGCAGGAAGACGGUCCUCUGGAUUGUAAACUGCUUUUGUUAGGGAAGAAACUUCCGUACGUGUACGGGACUGACGGUACCUAAAGAAUAAGGAUCGGCUAACUCCGUGCCAGCCGCCGCAGUAACAC
rnacentral:rRNA from 1 species